UGUCUCGUCUAAUCCUUCCACAGUGCUGCAAGGUAAAAAAGGUUCUCAGCUGAGAAAAAUGAGACUUACAGAUGUUAAGAAACUCAUCCAAGGUCAAUAGCUGAUGUAUAUAAAUCAAGCAUUGGAUUUCAGGUUUAUUUGUUACUAAAAUUCAUGCCCAGAACCUCUGCGCUAUUCUGAUCUUAGGCUUAUUGUCCCUAAUUAAAGCAGUUGGGCCAAGAAGCAGCAACUUGUUAUUCUGAAAGCUUCAGCCAAUGCUGCAUGUUGAAAUUGCCAUCCCUUAACAAAAGCCAGUUUUUAAAGAGCAACUAGUUGGUUAGAAUUGCUACCAUGUCUUUAAUUGCAUAAAUGCAAGUUUGUUUGGUUUUUAGUUAAAUCACAUUAAGUAUUUAGAUACUACUUAAGAUGAGAAACAGACAUAUAAGCCAUCUAACGAAAUGAAACACAAGGGUCUGUGGCUAUAUUCCUGCUGUGCACUUUCUCAACACCUGAAACUAGAUUUUCUUCCUCUGAAGCUCUGUAGGACAGUUCCAUAAAAAUGUGGAUUAAUAUUUCACGGUCACCACAGAGAAGAUGCAGCCCAAUAUUGUAAGAAGAGAAAGAAUUGGCUUGUAUGUUCUUCACAGAAAUUUUCAGUGGCCCAUAGGAUUUGAUCAUAACUCUUCCAGAGACAUAAAUCAAUCCUGCAACUCAGAGGUGCCCAUUUGAAAUGGCUAACAAAACGACUGUGGGAAAAGGCCCUGACUUAUGACAGCAGAGAGGAGACUUCAGCAAGACUACCGAAUGGCAGAGAUAUUUCUACUCCUAAGAAGUGGGAUUGAAUUUUCUGCCCUAUCCUUCCCUCUGAGCAGUUUGGUCAGGGGAAAACCAGCUGCCAUGUCCUGAGGACACUCAAGAAGCUUCGUGGAGAUGUCUACGUGGCAAUGAUCUGAGUCCUCCUGCCAGAAGCCAUGCCAAUAAUCUAUUUUGGAAAUGGAUCUGUCAUUGCCAGCCAAGCUGCCAGAUGACUGCAGUCACAGCCAACAUUUUGACUGCAACGUGAUGAAAGGACCGGAGCCAGAAACACUUAGCUAUGUUCUAUCAGAUUUCGGACCCUCAGAAACUGUCUAAUACAUAGUGAUUGUUUUAAGCUAAUGAGUUUUGGAGUAAUUUGUUACACCGCACAUAUAUCUAAUACUUAGCCUUUCUAGUGUUUAAAGGACAGCUACUCCUGACCUUCUCUUCUGUUUAAACAUCCCCCUUUCUUUUCUGAUCUCCCUUUGUGUGGCUCAGUUUUCUGCUCUUUUGCUCCAACACGGGGCUGUUCCUGUUCGCCAAUAUCCUUUUCAGUGUCAGUCUGUAUUAGUUAAAUCUCUUGGUUGAAAGUGACAGAAACUCAAAUUCACCCAGCUUAUGAAUAAGAAGGGGGCUGUGUUGUCCCAUGUCAUCACAUUUCCAGAGGGGAAGAGGAGGAUCUGGCCUUAGAGACAGCUGGAACCAGGGACACAAAUAGCACACGGGCUCUUUCUCUCUCUUUCUGCAUUUUAUCCUAGGUUUUGGCUUCACUCUCAAAUCUGAUGUCCUCAGAAACUUAUAAUCAUUUUUACAUAGCUUUUGUACUCAGAGCUGUGUGGCUGGAGACCAAAGAAAGUUCUUCCCUGCCAGAACAUUUCAGUUAAAAAAAUCUCAGAAGAGAAUUGCAAUUGGUCUGACUUCAAUCGUGUUCAUCCCCCUAUAACACUGUGACAGAGAGCAGUUUACCAGGACCAGGUGAAUCAUGUGUGCACACCUGUGGUGAGGGACACCCUUGGAAGAGAUUUAAGGAGAAGGAGAGACGAAGUGGCAACUCUAAGAAGAAGGUGACUAUGGACAGAGGAGAGAAUAAAUCACCUCGGCUUCCUAGCUGUGUGUCAUGUCCCUGUGGUGUUGGACCAGUGUGGGAUGAACAGAUUAUUUUCUAGUAGUCAGAUAAGUCCAUUUCAUAUAAUAAAUAAGCUGAUCAGAAAUAAGAUCUCUGGAAAAGUUAAGAGCACAGUGGGUGGUAGUAAGAAAAUCUGUUCUUACUUAGGUAAGAGGGUUCAGUGACACAAGGAAUGAUGACCAGUGGAGAAUGCCAUGGUAAAGAAAAAAGGUUAGAUAGGUUAGAACUGGACUUCUGGGACAGAUGUGGGAGUGGGUACUCAAGCCCAUGGCUUCUGAACCACAAUACUGCAGCACACUGGGGUCACAGUCCUCUGUAAGGAAGCUUGUGGGGUCCACCUCAAACAAUUCAUUGUCAGUAGACAAAAUACCAUAGUUAAUAAAUUAAUUCUCUUUUUUAUGCACUAAGUUGGAUAUAUAGUCGUCCUCAUGAUAAUAGCCUUCUCCUUAGCAUGCAUCCAAGAGACAGUGUAGCCUAAUGGUUAGAAAGAUGGCCCUCUGAUCAGACAGUCUGGAUUUGAAUCUUAGAUCUUAUUAGACAUACGAUCUUGGGCAAAUUCUUUAACCUCUCUGUGCUUCAUAGAAUUUGGAAUAAUAAUAAUAAUAAUAUAUCAUAGGAAAUUAAAUAAGUUAAUAUAUAGAAAGUUCUUACAACAGCAUCUGACACACAGUAAGUGCUAUAUAGAUAUUGGUAAUUGUUAUUACUAUUAUCAUCAUCAUUAUUCUUGAAUUAAGGGGAGAGGUUUAUAGUUUAACCUAUCCCAAUGGACACAUGGGCAUACCCAUUUCAGUAUCAUCCAUUCCAUAUACUGAGGAAGAGAAAAGCUGAAAAGUUGUCAUUCUAAGCAGUCCGAGGACCAGAGUGUAAGUCUCUAUAAGAGAGUGAAGACAAGUACGUUGAAAUUAUUUGUGGGACAUUUGGGCUGCAAAUAGAGGCCUCUUAGAAGACUACAAUAUCCACCUUGUCAAGUGUUAAAGUUGGUGCUGACUGCAUGUCUUCAAAUAAUACAAAAGCAAAUAUAUCCCACUGCACUUCCAUAAGAAAUAAGCAUUCAUCUGUGGGUUGUUGGUUUUCCAAUUGCAGUAGCAAAGAUUUAAGCCAUAUUUAGGAUCCAACAUAUCCAUCAUAAAAGCUAUCUUUCCUAAUGCUCAUUUUUAUCCAAGUACAGUGCAUAAUUAAAUGCUAGCACUGAGAAGCACUGUAUUUAGAAAAUAACAAGGCAAGAUCAUCAACCACAGCUAUUUAUGUACUCCUCCAGCUCGAAUACCUCAGACUGUGCAUGCUUGCUACUGACAUUGCUUAUUUUUAAGUCUUUUUUUAAACUGUAUAAAUCAUACUUUUGAAAGAUGUGGCAAUUGGAUCAUUAUAUCAUAUAAGAAAAGCUUUAAAAACUAAGUGAUGCUUAAAGAUCAUGCAGCACACCUAUCUGAACAUCUGUCUGCCAUAUAUUUUUAAAAUAUUUGUCUCAAGUCAAACAAUGACUUAUGGAAGCAGUAGAACUAUGACAUGUGUGCCACACUCAUGGCAAUCAUCACCAAUUCUCUGUAAAGCCUGGACUGAGCUUCAGAAUCCUUUUCAACACAAAGAUCCAGGUAGCCACUUCAAAUCAAUUAAAUUUAGCAUGAAAAUUUAAAUCAGUUUAUCAUCCCCUAAUGAUGGCUAACCUAAAUAGAGCCCAGGAUACCAAAUUUCCAUACUAAUCUGAUUAUACCAUUCAAAUUCUUCAGUUAUGAACUAUUUGAGCCACAUUUGUCCAUCUCCACACUCUUCUUGACUGUUCCAUGAAGAAUCAGUCCACCUCAGUGAAUAUGUUAGUGAUAACCCUUCCUGAACCUGGUCAGUGAUAAGCUCCCAUACUGCAAAUAACACUUUUUAAAUGAAAUAUAAUUCACUUUCCAGACAAUUCAUCCUUUUACAGUGCUCAAUUGAGUAUGUUUGACUAUAUUCACAAUCUAAUUCCAGGACAUUUUCAUUACUCACAAAAGAAACCCUAUAUAGCAGUCAUUCCCCAUUUCUCCCUCACCCUCUGUACCCCAGCCCUUAGGAACCACUAACCUAUUUUCUAUCUCUGGAUUUGAUUAUUCUAUACAUUUAAUAUAAAAGGAAUCAUAAAAUACAUGGCCUUUUGUGUCUAGCUUCUUUCACUUAGCAUAAUGUUUUUAAGGUCCAUACACAUUGUAUGUAUCAGUACUUCAUUCCUUUUUUGUAAGUGAAUAAUUUUCUAUUGUAUUAUAUACAAAUUUUAUUUAUCCAUUCAA